CCCUUAGAUGUUCUGGGCCGCACGCGCGCUACACUGACGAAUGCAACGAGCUUAUAACCUUGGUCGAAAGGUCUGGGUAAUCUCCAAAUUUCGUCGUGAUGGGGAUAGAUUAUUGCAAUUAUUAAUCUUCAACGAGGAAUGCCUAGUAAGCGCAAGUCAUCAGCUUGCGUUGAUUACGUCCCUGCCCUUUGUACACACCGCCCGUCGCUCCUACCGAUUGAAUGGUCCGGUGAAGCGUUCGGACCGUGGCCUUUGGACGGUUCGCCGUCUGUUGGCUGCGGGAAGUUCGUUAAACCUUAUCAUUUAGAGGAAGGAGAANUCGUANCA
rnacentral:rRNA from 1 species